UCUCCGCACUUGACACAUCGGUGUUCUACCAUGCAGUUCCUCUGUGCGUGGAAGAAUCGCUAACACCGAUGGCACUGAGCUGUUU